AGUAGCUGAAGGCCAGCAGCUGAAGGCCAGUAGCUGAAGGCCAGCAGCUGAAGGCCAGCAGCUGAAGGCCAGCAGCUGAAGGCCAGCAGCUGAAGGCCAGCAGCUGAAGGCUAGUUGAAGGCCAGCAGCUGAAGGCUAGUUGAAGGCCAGUAGUUCAAUGCUAGUUGAAGGCCAGCAGCUGAAGGCUAGUUGAAGGCCAGUAGCUGAAGGCUAGUUGAAGGCCAACUAAAAGCCACUGGUUUAUGUCUGUAUGCUGCUCACUGUUCUAAAGAGUUAAGCCAUGAAGAAAACACCUUCCGUUUGAUUUUUUUAUUGAGGUGGAAAGCUGACAAAAUAAAUUAUGGUGAAUGAUGUUGAAUGACAUCCUGGUAUGAUAUGAAGAUACUAAUUAUUAUUUUUGAGAAUAUGUAUAUAGUUUGUAUGUUUCUGUAAAUACUACAUCCUCAGUUCACUGUGGUAUCACCC
ensembl:lncRNA